rnacentral:rRNA from 1 species
CCUACGGGUGGCAGCAGUGGGGAAUAUUGGGCAAUGGACGCAAGUCUGACCCAGCAACGCCGCGUGAAGGAAGAAGGCUUUCGGGUUGUAAACUUCUUUUAAGGGGGAAGAGCAGAAGACGGUACCCCUUGAAUAAGCCACGGCUCACUACGUGCCAGCAGCCGCGGUAAUACGUAGGUGGCAAGCGUUGUCCGGAUUUACUGGGUGUAAAUGGCGUGCAGCCGGAGAGACAAGUCAGAUGUGAAAGCCACGGGCUCAACCCGGGAAUUGCAUUUGAAACUGUUUCCUUGGAGUGUCGGAGAGGUAAUCGGAAUUCCUGGUGUAGCGGUGAAAUGCGUAGAUAUAAGGAAGAACACCAGUGGCGAAGGCGGAUUACUGGACGAUAACUGACGGUGAGGCGCGAAAGCGUGGGGAGCAAACAGGAUUAGAUACCCGGGUAGUC